CGACCUACGGGACGCAGCAGUGAGGAAUAUUGGUCCCUUGUCUGGAGCCUGAACCAGCCAAGUCGCGUGAGGGAAGACGGUCCUAUGGAUUGUAAACCUCUUUAGGCGGGGAGCAAUGCCGGGCACGCGUGUCCGGAGGGAGAGUACCCGCAGAAUAAGCAUCGGCUAACUCCGUGCCAGCAGCCGCGGUAAUACGGAGGAUGCGAGCGUUAUCCGGAUUUAUUGGGUUUAAAGGGUGCGUAGGCGGAUUUUUAAGUCAGCGGUAAAAUGUCCGGGCUCAACCCGGGCCGGCCGUUGAAACUGGG
rnacentral:rRNA from 1 species